ensembl:lncRNA
CACGAAUGUCUUCAUGUUGUUCACCUUUGCUUCCCGAGGCUUUAGUACUGUAGGUCGAGGAGGCUCUACUACUGUAAGACGAUGUCUGCAGGUCGAGGUGGUUAAAUACCCCCCAUGUCACUGACAGCCAGAAAAAACAGAUUUAAAUAAAAAAAUAAUUACAUACUAAUAGUGGCAACUGGUCAGUAGGGGCAAGUGGGGCUCGGCCCCACCUACUCUCACAAGAAAAAAAGAAAAAAAGGAAAUAUAUAAAAUGAAUUAUAUACAUAUAUAUAAAAAUCUCCCCAGAAAGUACUGUCAAAUAAUAAAUUCGGCGCUUUUAGUUCAUUUUUAGUCGACCCUAGCUUGCUUCUUCAGACGGAUUUCGUCUGGAAGGGCAAGAGUGGCUCGAGCCUCAUCAGCCCAAUGUAAUGUGUAUUGGACUUGAAAAAUUGAAAUGCGUAUGCUCAGAGUGUUCCUCUGUUGAAAUCGACGCAGGUUAUUACUUCUGGUGGGGCUGGCACCACCGGGACCGCCAUGGACAUAUAUGGUUCGUUCCACAACGUUGUAAUUUCAUAUUUCACCGUUCAUUGGCUGUAGUGUGUGACGUUGUGAUGAGUCAUGACUCGAGUGACCUCCCACCUCACCUCACGUGCCGCGCGCAACUCGAGAAGUCCUGUAGCGAAGAAGAGAAGGAGAUGGAUAACUUUGCUAACAAACGCGUCGGAGGCACACAAACGAAAACGAGUCGACAACAUGAAUGAGUCUAUUUAUGUUUUUCCCGUCUUAUAUGUUCCCACUCCUGGCCUGCACCUUGUCGUGGACACUGCCUAGGCCUACGGGAGGUGUACUCCAUGGUCCUUGUUGGUGGAGCUGAGGGCUGAAUAGAGAAUGGGAAACGCAAGCCAGGGCUACAAACAGCAUGGUGGGACACUGACACGUAAGUAAGACCAAUGAUGGAAGCUCAAUCUCUAUUUUGAAAUACUUUUGCUUUUUUAUGAAAAUUACCAAUUCUAUUUGUAAUAUAUGAGGUCUGUAACUUUUUCCCAAAAUGAAUUUCAAGAGAGAGAGAGAGAGAGAGAGAGAGAGAGAGAGAGAGAGAGAGGGAGAGAGGGAGAGAGGGAGAGGGAGAGAGGGAGAGAGGGAGAGAGAGGGAGAGAGCGCUUUAUGCACUAAUAUUACAAGGUUGUUGGUUGUCUUUAACUGUCGCCCUCUGGUAUCCUGGGGGGUUUUUGCGUUGCUUUGAGCGACCGAGUUCUACCUUUCAUCCCAUUGAUUGGCGUGCGUGCGUGUUUGUGUGUGGUGUAUGAAGCGAGAGACCCUGAUUGGUCCCGUGGUCCUUUAGGCAAAGUGGGCGGGACUUUGUUCCGUUCUAGCCUAUUAACCGAGAUCCUGUCCUGCAUCUGGAGCAGGCUUGGUGUGAGUGAUCCACAUACCUUGUGGUAACCAUGGUGAUGUAGAUGUACGCCCCCCCUUCCCCGUAGCCCACUCAGAAAUCGGUAGUAGAAUCCGUAGGCUAGUAUUAGUUAAGGGAGUUUUAUAUGUGAAAUAUCGUGCAUAAAGCUGUGUCUCACCCACUCUACUUGUCUGUCUGUCUGUGUCUCCCGGUCUCUCUGUCUCUCUGUCCCUGUCUCUCUCUAUUUCUGCCUCCCUUUCUCUGUAUCUCUCUGACCCUCCCUCCCUCCCUCUCUCUGUCCCUCCCUCCCUUUUGUGAGACAGUUCAGUGAAUAAAAACAACAAAACAAAAUGUAUUUCCCUUAAACUAAAUGAAACCGGUUUGUUCUGGAAAGAAUAAAUAGACGAAGGGAGUUGACCUAAGGGUAGAAAAUAGAUUUAAAUAAACCAUCUGCGCUUCGCAUAACCGCUUCAAAUCGCUUUGAGAAGAAAAUCAGGCGGACAGAUAUACUAACCUGGUCUCUGUUGAUAACCUGGAUAAAUUAAAUUAAUUGAGCCAAUUGAAUACCAUUGACUGUCAAACCGACGAUAUAGUCAUGUUUGCAUUUAUUUUUUAAUUAAAUUCAUACACAAUUUCCAAUGUGAUGCAUGAGUCAAAUAGACAGUUUAAGAGAUCACACACCUAGAAUAUGAAGGUCAAGGCCUAUGCGUUUAAUGUUUAGAUGAUAUCACUCUAUAGUGAAUCACUUGAUAUAGGCCGGCAGGGAAACAGCCCAACAUAGAAGCACGCGCUCGUCUUUGAUUCCUCAUCGUUGUCUUUGUUGUCGAAACUCUCCACAUGCCCAAACUUAUAAUGGACAUUAUCAAACUUCUUCACGAAAAAGUUUAGUUUUCUUUGCAUGAAAGAUUAUUAUUUAAAUCCACAAAGAACAUUUAUGUUUAACCCGGGGCAUAUAAACACUGGGGCACAAAAUUAAUUACUUUCUCUCGAUUGAAACCCAUUCAUAUUUUUCGAUCUCAUAGGUCCAAUGGGCUCUACCGGAAGGGGCAUGACUUCGCCAUAGGAGGAAAGAGUUUUUUUGGGGGGCUACAGGAAACAGAAGUGUCCGAUCAUGCACAGCCCUGUUUUUUUGGAAUUAUUAACCAGAGAACAAAUGUUGACACAAAACGACCACACAACCCAAACAUGCAUCAGCAUUCUGUAUCAAAUGUAAAACUGAUUGGCCUAAUCGUUAUGUCCCCCAAAUAUAAGAUUUAACAUUUUCUUAAUGCUAAAUAGUUUGUUUGUACAUUGGGUAAUACAUGAAAUGUAAUAUAUUAUAUGUAUACAUACUAUUAUAUAAAUCUCAACUGAAUUUUCAUUCUACCUGAGGCCCAAAAUGAUAGACGUAGGCCUACAGUAUUGCUGUAAUUGUUCUACGAACCUACCUGUGUAAAAUGCAGCUAAGAUCAGGAAAACGAAAACAAGCACGAAUGUCUUCAUGUUGUUCACCUUUGCUUCCCGAGGCUUUAGUACUGUAAGACACUGUGUGCAGGUCGAGGUGGUUAAAUACCCCCCACGUCACUGACACCCAGAAAAAACAGAUUUAAAUAAAAAAUAAUUACAUGCUAAUAGUGGCAACUGGUCAGUAGGGGCAAGUGGGGCUCCCCCACGCCCCCACCUACUCUCACAAGAAAAAGAAGAAAAUGAAAAAAGAAAAAAAAUAUAUAAAAUGAAUUAUAUAUAUGUAUAUAUAAAAAAUCUCCCCAGAAAGUACUGUCAAAUAAUAAAUUCGGCGCUUUUAGUUCAUUUUUAGUCGACCCUAGCUUGCUUCUUCAGACGGAUUUCGUCUGGAGGGGCAAGAGUGGCUCGAGCGAGCCCCAUCAGCCCAAUGUAAUGUGUAUUGGACUUGAAAAAUUGAAAUGCGCAUGCUCAGAGUGUUCCUCUGUUGAAAUCGACGCAGGUUAUUAC